ensembl:lncRNA
CUGAGACUGAGCAAUUGCAUACAGCUCUUUAGGUUUCCAGGCCCCUCUCUCUGCUUGGUUUAAGGAAGGUAGACAUGGGAGACAUCUGUGUGAUCUGUCUCGAAAUUCACCUCUGACAUUGUGUGAAAACUGUGUCAGUGUGAGAGAGAAUUCAUGAAGAACACAAUGGGUUUAUCAAACCUGUUAUAAUUGAACCUGUCCUGUCUUCAGCAAUAAUCAAAUGUGGUAUUUUGGGCUGUAAUUGUAGGAUUAAGAGGAAGCUGGGGCAGGACUGCAGGAUUGCCACCUCAAUGCAAGCUCCUCAGUCAUGAAUCAGAGCCCAAGCCAAAGAAGCAGAAAAUAAGAGGAAUGUAUUUGUGCUACAAAAGUAAUUGAAGUACCUUGGUAUUAAAGAAAACUGCUCUUUCCAGUCCUGUCAGAAGAGGGAAUAAUGAACAAGGUAAGUAC